CUUCGGGGUACUCGAGUGGCGAACGGGUGAGUACACGUGGGUGAUCUGCCCUGCACUUUGGGAUAAGCCUGGGAAACUGGGUCUAAUACCGAAUAGGACCANNNNCUUCAUGGUGNGNNNUGGAAAGCUUUUGCGGUGUGGGAUGGGCCCGCGGCCUAUCAGCUUGUUGGUGGGGUAAUGGCCUACCAAGGCGACGACGGGUAGCCGGCCUGAGAGGGUGACCGGCCACACUGGGACUGAGAUACGGCCCAGACUCCUACGGGAGGCAGCAGUGGGGAAUAUUGCACAAUGGGCGCAAGCCUGAUGCAGCGACGCCGCGUGAGGGAUGACGGCCUUCGGGUUGUAAACCUCUUUCAAUAGGGACGAAGCGCAAGUGACGGUACCUAUAGAAGAGGCACCGGCCAACUACGUGCCAGCAGCCGCGGUAAUACGUAGGGUGCGAGCGUUGUCCGGAAUUACUGGGCGUAAAGAGCUCGUAGGUGGUUUGUCGCGUUGUUCGUGAAAACUCACAGCUUAACUGUGGGCGUGCGGGCGAUACGGGCAGACUAGAGUACUGCAGGGGAGACUGGAAUUCCUGGUGUAGCGGUGGAAUGCGCAGAUAUCAGGAGGAACACCGGUGGCGAAGGCGGGUCUCUGGGCAGUAACUGACGCUGAGGAGCGAAAGCGUGGGGAGCGAACAGGAUUAGAUACCCUGGUAGUCCACGCCGUANACGGUGGGUACUAGGUGUGGGUUCCUUCCUUGGGAUCCGUGCCGUAGCUAACGCAUUAAGUACCCCGCC
rnacentral:rRNA from 1 species